rnacentral:snRNA from 1 species
AACUGUUACAGCACUUUUAGAAUUUGUCUUGCAGGUUUUUCAGUUUUUACCAGAAAAAUCUGG